rnacentral:rRNA from 1 species
ACAUGGGCACCGNAUCAUCAAUGCCGCGUGAGUGAAGAAGGCCUUCGGGUUGUAAAGCUCUUUUGUCAGGGAAGAAACACCGGCUCUAACACAGUCCGGGAAUGACGGUACCUGAAGAAUAAGCACCGGCUAACUACGUGCCAGCAGCCGCGGUAAUACGUAGGGUGCGAGCGUUAAUCGGAAUUACUGGGCGUAAAGCGUGCGCAGGCGGUUAUACAAGACAGGCGUGAAAUCCCCGGGCUUAACCUGGGAAAGGCGCCUGUGACUGUAUAGCUAGAGUGUGUCAGAGGGGGGUAGAAUUCCACGUGUAGCAGUGAAAUGCGUAGAUAUGUGGAGGAAUACCAAUGGCGAAGGCAGCCCCCUGGGAUAACACUGACGCUCAUGCACGAAAGCGUGGGGAGCAAACAGGAUUAGAUACCCUGGUAGUCCACGCCCUAAACGAUACUGACUAGUUGUUCGGGAUUUACAUCCUGAGUAACGUAGCUAACGCGUGAAGUCAGCCGCCUGGGGAGUACGGUCGCAAGAUUAAAACUCAAAGGAAUUGACGGGGACCCGCACAAGCGGUGGAUGAUGUGGAUUAAUUCGAUGCAACGCGAAAANACUUACCUACCCUUGACAUGUCACUAACGAAGUAGAGAUUCUUAAGCGCUCGUAAGAG